AUUGAACGCUGGCGGCAGGCUUAACACAUGCAAGUCGAGCGGGGGAAGGUAGUUUGCUACCGGACCUAGCGGCGGACGGGUGAGUAAUGCUUAGGAAUCUGCCUAUUAGUGGGGGACAACAUCUCGAAAGGGAUGCUAAUACCGCAUACGUCCUACGGGAGAAAGCAGGGGAUCUUCGGACCUUGCGCUAAUAGAUGAGCCUAAGUCGGAUUAGCUAGUUGGUGGGGUAAAGGCCUACCAAGGCGACGAUCUGUAGCGGGUCUGAGAGGAUGAUCCGCCACACUGGAACUGAGACACGGUCCAGACUCCUACGGGAGGCAGCAGUGGGGAAUUUUGGACAAUGGGGGCAACCCUGAUCCAGCCAUGCCGCGUGAGUGAAGAAGGCCUUCGGGUUGUAAACUGCUUUUGUACGGAACGAAACGGUUCUCUCUAAUACAGGGGGCUAAUGACGGUACCGUAAGAAUAAGCACCGGCUAACUACGUGCCAGCCGCCGCAGUAAGAC
rnacentral:rRNA from 1 species